GCCUGCUUAGCUCAGUCAGUAGAACAUGAGACUCUUAAUCUCAGGGUCAUGAGUGCAAGCCCCAUUUUGGGCU
rnacentral:tRNA from 1 species